CUGCACCGUAAAACGAAUGUUUGAGGAUGCUGGGAAAUGUUCAUUCGGAACGCAGCGGAAUUUAAACUGGUCCCCAUAUGAUACCAAUUUAUUGCGGGCAAUGGCUGCUCCGAGAACAUGUUUUCGAGGGUUUUCACCACAAGAGCAAAUUAUACAACUUUAUUCUUGAAAAUGUUAGAGACUGAGACUUGGAGUCAAAGUCAACAGACACGCUUGCAUGGACAUGAAGGAUGUAAAGAACUAGAGUAUUAUAACUGAAAGCAUUUUGUCUGGAUUUGUGUAUGGAAACAGAAGGAUUUAGUAUUGGUAUCCUGAAUUUUUGUCAACUUCUAGCCAAGAUCCUGUACUUAAGCUGAAUGUGGAGGACAGAUGUACACACAGUACUAGUAUAGAGGGUAUUAUCUCGGUACCUUAAAACUCCAAACGACAGGGAGAAGAAGAAAACUGCAUAUUUCCGAUGUAUCUUCACAGCAACAUGACCCAAAGCACUACCAUUAAAGGAUUUGAUUUGACAUUAAGGAAGUAAAAAAAUGAAGGCAUUAGUCAUAAAGAAAAUUAAAGAACUUUAUGUCUGAAUAUUAUAUCAACAAUACCAUAGAUCUAAAGAUGGAUUAUUUUGCCUAUUAAUUUAUAUUAAUGCAUAUACAUGUAAUUUUAUUCUUUUUAUAUAUACAAUCAUGUAGUGUUACCAUUUUUCACAAAGCUUAAAAAGUUAUGUAGGGCCACACCAAUUUAAUUUCUUGUUCGUCGGACAUUUGAUUUAAAAAAAGUACAAGCAGUUAAAUGAUAAUAUUAUUACUCUUUGCUGGGCAAUUUUUUAGGCGGAGCGUAAAAAUUUGAGCGGACAAUUAUAUUUUUUCUGAUUUACAGAGUAAGCAGAUAUAAAAUACAAUAAAUAGAGCGGAAAUGGAACAGAAAAUAGCACAGAAUUCCUAUGGUGCGAGAAAUUGAAAUUAAUAUUAUUUGUAUGGUUUUGUUUAAAUAAGCGCGUGGGUCCGACGAACAAAAAUUUUCAUUAGUGUGGCCUAGAUCAUUUAGAUUCAAUUCAUUUUUUAGCUCUACUGGUCAGAGACCAGAAGAGCUUAUGCGAUAGUAAUGCGUCCGGCGUCCGUCCGUCUGUCCGUCUGUCUGUCUGUCUGUCCGUCUGUCCGUCUGUCUGUAAACAAUUUUUCAAAAUGCUACUCCUCCUACAGUUUUGGUCUAAUUUCAAUAUAACUUGGCACACAAGUAGACUACACUAAGAUACAUAAUUCUGUGUAUCGGUUUUUGAUUUCGAUGAACGGUGUUGCCGUGGUUACUAAAAAUAGAAAUUUCUGUGAUAUUCUUUCAAAAUGCUACUCCUCCUACAGUUUUGGUCUGAUUUCAGUAUAACUUGGCACACAAGUAGACUACACUAAGAUACAUAAUUCUG